rnacentral:rRNA from 1 species
ACUAGACCUUGAGCAAUUACAUGGAUACCUGUGGUAAUUCUAGAGCUAAUACAUGCACCGAAGUUGUUCCUCACGGAGCAAUGCAUUUAUUUGAGCAAAACCAGGCGGCUUCGGCCGUUACUGUUGAUUCAGAAUAACUAAGCUGAUCGCAUGGGCUUGUCCCGGCGACGUGUCUUUCAAGUGUCUGCCUUAUCAACUUUCGAUGGUAGUGUACGUGACUACCAUGGUGUUGACGGGUAACGGAGGAUAAGGGUUCGACUCCGGAGAAGGGGCCUGAGAAAUGGCCACUACGUCUAAGGAUGGCAGCAGGCGCGCAAAUUACCCACUCUCAGUUCGAGGAGGUAGUGACGAAAAAUAACAAGGCCGUUCUCUUUGAGGCCGGCCAUUGGAAUGGGUACAACUUAAACCCUUUAACGAGUAUCAAUGAGAGGGCAAGUCUGGUGCCAGCAGCCGCGGUAAUUCCAGCUCUCAAAAUGCAUAGAACCAUUGCUGCGGUUAAAAAGCUCGUAGUUGGAUCUGUGCCGGCGACAUGGUCCGCCUUAACCGGCGGUACUGUGCUCGUCGGCUUUGGGCCGGUCUUCGGACGGUCACCUUCACUGGUGGCCGCUCGUGGCUGGCUGGUUUACUUUGAGCAAAUCAGAGUGCUCAGCACAGGCGUCUCGCCGGAAUGUUCGUGCAUGGAAUAAU